rnacentral:lncRNA from 13 species
AUUCGAUGUUUCAAGCGUCUUUGGGUCUGAGAAAAUCUCUAAAAUACAAUUAGUUUGUAUAAAAAAAUGGGUUAUGUUAUACGUUUUUGCUGGUGGUAGUUGGUCCCUAUGUUAGUAUGUUUAUGAUUUGUUUUCUCUCUCCAUCCAUCUUUCUGUCUCUCCAUCCAUAUCUCUCUCCAUCCAUCCCUCUCCAUCCAUCUCUCUCAUUCAGCCAAGACGAGGUUGGCAUUGUCUGAUUCGACUGACCUUGAAGCCACCACAGAGGAGAGCAUUGACUGUUUGUCAUCUGACCUGGACAAGACCAAAAGACAGGACCCUCUUAGUAAAGAUGGGAAGGACCCAGCCCUGCAGCUGACCUCCCCCACAACGGGGCCAUCCGUGUCGGACCUGUUGGCCGUGAGCUCAGUGGAGCACCAGGUGCAGCUGCUCCAGAGGCUGCUCCAGCAGCAGGAGCAGCAGGCCCAGGCUGCUGCAGCACAGACGUGUGUGCUCCAGGACCAGCUGUCAGUAGAGGUGCGUGCAAGGACAGACGCCCAGGCCCGUGUCCAGA